GCAAGCUAGCAAUGCUCAGUUGGUUAGAGUGUGGUGCUGAUAACACCAAGGUUGCAGGUUCGAUCCCCGUAUGGGAUAGCUGCA